CCUACGGGAGGCAGCAGUGGGGGAUAUUGCACAAUGGGGGAAACCCUGAUGCAGCGACGCCGCGUGUGGGAAGACGGUCUUCUGGAUUGUAAACCACUGUCCCCAGGGACGAAAAUGACGGUACCUGGGGAGGAAGCUCCGGCUAACUACGUGCCAGCAGCCGCGGUAAUACGUAGGGGGCAAGCGUUGUCCGGAAUUACUGGGUGUAAAGGGAGCGUAGGCGGGGAUGCAAGUUGGGGGUCAAAACUACCGGCUAAACCGAUAGUCGCACUCAAAACUGGAACUCUUGAGUGAAGUAGAGGCAGGCGGAAUUCCUAGUGUAGCGGUGAAAUGCGUAGAGAUUAGGAGGAACACCAGUGGCGAAGGCGGCCUGCUGGACUUUUACUGACGCUGAGGCUCGAAAGUGUGGGGAGCAAACAGGAUUAGAUACCCUAGUAGUC
rnacentral:rRNA from 1 species